rnacentral:rRNA from 1 species
GGCGUAAGGGCGCGCAGGUGGUUCCUUAAGUCGGAUGUGAAAGCCCCCGGCUCAACCUGGGAGCUGCAUUGGAAACUGACGAACUUGAGUGUGGAAGAGGGUGGUGGAAUUCCCUGUGUAGCGGUGAAAUGCGUAGAUAUGUGAAGGAACACCAGUGGCGAAGGCGACUCUCUGGACUGAUACUGACACUGAGGAGCGAAAGCGUGGGGAGCGAACAGGAUUAGAUACCCUGGUAGUCCACGCCGUAAACGAUGACUGCUAACCGUUGGGAGGCUUGCGCUCCUUAUGGCUCCGCUUACCCCUUUAGUUGACCGCCCGGGGAAUUCCGGCCCCAGGAUUGAACUCCAAUGGAUUGGCGGGGGGCCGCCCCAGCGGGGGAACCUGGGGUUUAAUUUCAAACCACCCCAAAAACCUUUCCCGGGCUUGGCCUUCCUUGGACUUUCCUAAAAUGGAUUGUUGCCUUCCGGA